UACGGAGGGUGCGAGCGUUGUCCGGAAUCACUGGGCGUAAAGGGCGCGUAGGCGGCGCGGGAAGUCAACGGUGAAAGCUUGGGGCUCAACUCCGAGUCGGCCGUCGAUACUCCCGUGCUCGAGCACUGUAGUGGCAGAUGGAAUUCCGGGUGUAGCGGUGGAAUGCGUAGAGAUCCGGAAGAACACCGGUGGCGAAGGCGGUCUGCUGGGCAGUUGCUGACGCUGAUGCGCGACAGCGUGGGGAGCAAACAGG
rnacentral:rRNA from 1 species